GACCUAAUGGCGAAAUGGUAUCGUGUCCACACUUCAUAUAUACGCAUGGUAUAAUGUUUCGCGGAAGUCCCCGGUUCGAACCCGGGUUAGGUCA